AAUAAGGGAGUGAAAAAGACCCUGAAACCGUGUGUCUACAAGCGGUCGAAGCACUUAGGUGCGACGGCGUGCCUUUUGCAUAAUGAUCCUACGAGUUACUCCUCAAUGGCAAGGUUAAGUCUUUCAGAGACGCAGCCGAAGCGAAAGCGAGUCUUAACAGGGCGCCAUAGUCAGUGGGAGUAGACGCGAAACCAAGUGAUCUACCCUUGAGCAGGUUGAAGUUUCGGUAACACGAAAUGGAGGACCGAACCCGUUGACGUUGAAAAGUCUUGGGAUGACUUGAGGGUAGGGGUGAAAGGCUAAUCAAACUUGGAGAUAGCUCGUACUCCCCGAAAUGCAUUUAGGUGCAGCGUCACAUAUUUUUCCAAGAGGUAGAGCGACUGAUUGGAUGCGAGGGCUUCACCGCCUAUCAAAUCCUGACAAACUCCGAAUGCUUGGAAAAUGAGUGUGGCAGUGAGGGCGCGGGUGCUAAGGUCCGUGUCCGAGAGGAGAAGAAUCCAGACCACCAGCUAAGGUCCCCAAAUAUAUGCUAAGUUGAACUAACGAAGUCGAACUGCAGAGACAGCUAGGAUGUUGGCUUGGAAGCAGCCAUUCAUUUAAAGAGUGCGUAACAGCUCACUAGUCGAGCGGUUUGGCGUGGAUAAUACUCGGGCAUAAGCAUAUUACCGAAGCUGUGGAAUACGUAAGUAUUGGUAGGGGAGCAUUCUAGCGGCGCUGAAGGUGUGGGAUAACCCAUGCUGGAGCUUCUAGAAAAGCAAAUGUAGGUAUAAGUAACGAUAAGGCAGGUGAGAAACCUGCCCGCCGGAAGACUAAGGUUUCCUGAUCAACGCUAAUCGGAUCAGGGUUAGUCGGGGCCUAAGGUUAAGCCGAAUGGUGAGACCGAUGGAAGAACAGGUUAAUAUUCCUGUACUAGCGUAUGGAGUGAAGCGGGGACGAAGUAGUGAAAGCUUUGCCCACUGACGGAAUAGUGGGUUGAAGGGUGUAGAUAUUGAGGAAGGCAGGCAAAUCCACCUUCUGAGUCGAACCUGAUAGUACCGGGCGUUCUUGAACAACCGGAUAAUAAGUGUAAUCAGACUUCCAAGAAAAUCCGCUAAACGUUAAUUCAUACGGUACCCGUACUACAAACGGACACACGUGGUCAAGUAUAGAGUACUAAGGCGCUCGAGUGAUUCGCGGCUAAGGAACUAGGCAAAAUCGCCCCGUAACUUCGGGAGAAGGGGCACCUCCCUAGGCAACUAGGAGGUCGCAGUGAAAUGGCCCAGGCGACUGUUUAACAAAAACAUAGGGCUUUGCAAAAUCGAAAGAUGAGGUAUAAGGCCUGACACCUGCCCGGUGCUGGAAGGUUAAGAGGAGAUGUCAACCGUAAGGCGAAGCAUUGAAUUGAAGCCCCAGUAAACGGCGGCCGUAACUAUAACGGUCCUAAGGUAGCGAAAUUCCUUGUCGGGUAAGUUCCGACCUGCACGAAUGGUGUAACGAUCUGGGCACUGUCUCAGCCGCGAGCUCGGUGAAAUUGUAGUAUCGGUGAAGAUGCCGAUUACCCGCAACGGGACGGAAAGACCCCGUGAACCUUUACUGCAACUUAACAUUGAAUUUGGGUAAUUGAUGUGUAGGAUAGGCCGGAGGAUAUGAAGCGGGUACGCUAGUAUUCGUGGAGCCAUCCUUGAAAUACGGCCCUUUAAUUAUUUGAGUUCUAAUUCCUGAAUGGGAAGACACUGUUUGGUGGGUAGUUUGACUGGGGUGGUCGCCUCCAAAAGCGUAACGGAGGCUUCCAAAGGUGCGUUCAGCAUGAUUGGUAACCAUGCGUAGAGUAUAAUGGUAUAAGCGCGCUUGACUGAGAGACCGACAAGUCGAUCAGGUAGGAAACUAGGGCAUAGUGAUCCGGUGGUUCCGUAUGGAAGGGCCAUCGCUCAAAGGAUAAAAGGUACUCCGGGGAUAACAGGCUGAUCAUUCCCAAGAGCUCAUAUCGACGGAAUGGUUUGGCACCUCGAU
rnacentral:rRNA from 1 species